GAAUUCACUAGUGAUUUGGCGGCGUGGUUAAGACAUGCAAGUCGAACGAGAGAAUUGCUAGCUUGCUAAUAAUUCUCUAGUGGCGCACGGGUGAGUAACACGUGAGUAACCUGCCCCCGAGAGCGGGAUAGCCCUGGGAAACUGGGAUUAAUACCGCAUAGUAUCGAAAGAUUAAAGCAGCAAUGCGCUUGGGGAUGGGCUCGCGGCCUAUUAGUUAGUUGGUGAGGUAACGGCUCACCAAGGCGAUGACGGGUAGCCGGUCUGAGAGGAUGUCCGGCCACACUGGAACUGAGACACGGUCCAGACACCUACGGGUGGCAGCAGUCGAGAAUCAUUCACAAUGGGGGAAACCCUGAUGGUGCGACGCCGCGUGGGGGAAUGAAGGUCUUCGGAUUGUAAACCCCUGUCAUGUGGGAGCAAAUUAAAAAGAUAGUACCACAAGAGGAAGCGACGGCUAACUCUGUGCCAGCAGCCGCGGUAAUACAGAGGUCUCAAGCGUUGUUCGGAAUCACUGGGCGUAAAGCGUGCGUAGGCUGUUUCGUAAGUCGUGUGUGAAAGGCGCGGGCUCAACCCGCGGACGGCACAUGAUACUGCGAGACUAGAGUAAUGGAGGGGGAACCGGAAUUCACGGUGUAGA
rnacentral:rRNA from 1 species